GAUGAACGCUAGCGGCAGGCUUAAUACAUGCAAGUCGUGGGGCAGCGCAGGUAGCAAUACUGGGCGGCGACCGGCAAACGGGUGCGGAACACGUACACAACCUUCCGAGAAGUGGGGAAUAGCCCAGAGAAAUUUGGAUUAAUACCCCGUAACAUAACGAUGUGGCAUCACAUUGUUAUUAUAGCUUCGGCGCUUCUUGAUGGGUGUGCGGCUGAUUAGAUAGUUGGCGGGGUAACGGCCCACCAAGUCUACGAUCAGUAGCUGAUGUGAGGGCAUGAUCAGCCACACGGGCACUGGGACACGGGCCCGACUCCUACGGGAGGCAGCAGUAAGGAAUAUUGGUCAAUGGACGCAAGUCUGAACCAGCCAUGCCGCGUGAAGGAUUAAGGUCCUCUGGAUUGUAAACUUCUUUUAUCUGGGACGAAAAAAGGCGAUUCUUCGUCACUUGACGGUACCAGAUGAAUAAGCACCGGCUAACUCCGUGCCAGCCGCCGCUGUAACAC
rnacentral:rRNA from 1 species